CAACCCUCAAGCCUGGCUUGGUGUUGGGGCACCGCCUGUAAAAGGGCGGGCCCUGAAAUCUAGUGGCGAGCUCGCCAGGACCCCGAGCGUAGUAGUUUAUAUCUCGCUCUGGAAGGCCCUGGCGGUGCCCUGCCGUUAAACCCCCAACUUCUGAAA
rnacentral:misc_RNA from 1 species